rnacentral:sRNA from 1 species
GCCGGGCAUGGUGGAGCAUGCCUGUAAUCCCAGUGCUCUGGAAGCUGAGGCAGGAGAUCACGAGUUCAGCAAUGGUGAGGUGCUAAGCAACUCAGUGAGACCCCGUCUCUA